UAUAAGUGUCGUUAUUUUGUGGAUUUGUGAAUUAAAUAAUAUAAAUAAAUAUGGAUAAAACUACAACUAUCAGAUAAAAAAGCUGCCGUUUUCUUCUUCCGAAAGAGAGCUGCUGAUUGUAGCUUAAAAUAAGAGAAAGGCCUAUUAUUGAAGACAAGCAUAUUAUUAUCCUCUCUAAAAUAUCGAGUUGACGAAGCAGGCCUGGGAAACUCUAACAGUAGCUUACAAUUCUCAACCAUAUUUUAUGUUUCACAAAGGCUCACACAUCAACUGAAAAGCUGCUGGAAUAAUUUAAAGACCCAAAGAAUGAAAGAACUUUCUCAGGAAUCAAUCAAACGUUCUCAACACCCACUAGUAGGUAUCAAGAAAUUAAGAUUAGUAGUAGCAAGAAUGAAGAUUAAGACAGAAACAAGAAUCAAACGCACCACAUUGAAUAAUAUAUAACAAGACUAGG